AGCAGCUGGUCUUGACCUACGCCUCCUUUGACUUUCUCUCUCUGGAGGAGGCUGAGCCGGCCAGUAUCUCCCAUUUCUACAUAGGCAAGUGUCAGAUAGACAGUGUGAGGCUGUCCAUAUACCGGUACUGUUGUCCAGCUCCGUACCUGGCUGGGGUCGACACUGGCCUGUACAAACGCAUGCGCUGGAAUGUGGAGAGACCCAGAGAGAGCCUACAGCAGGAAACUGAUGGCGAGAUGGAGGGAGAGACAGAGGAGGACAAGCCAGUGGCAGGGAAAGAGAGAGCUACCAAGACAGAGUAGUGAGUGAGAGCGAGAGAGAGGGGGAGGUAGAGAAAGGGUUAAAGUAAAGCAUAACAUGUCAAUAAACAAUAAUUGUAGUACAAUAUUAGUGCCAAGAAUACUUUGGGACUCUUUUGAACUGAGAUGUUGGAUGACAAUGUACAUUUUGGAAUUCAGGCCUAAGAACAGUUGAUCAGAUGGCAUCUCACUGCCUGUGUCUGUGUCUGUAUUUGUGUGUGACUGUGUGUGUUUCUCGAGCAGCUACUUCCUGUGCUACGAGGACAUCCCAGAGGAGCCCACUGAUGGGGGCGAUGGAGAGGGUAAAGGGGAGACGGUUGCUAUAGGCAACGUGGUCAGGAUGUGGUCAAUCGGUCAGUGGGUCCAAACGCAGCCGGAACCCGUGACAGACGACAUCUACGAAUGGGUGCUGUGCUGGGUUCCACAGGCUCAGUACCACAGGCUUUUGUGUCUGGGAGGAGAGGAGCCCACUGCCUGCAGUGCUACUGACUGUCUACUGGGGGCGUUGUUCUCUCAACAGAGCCCAGUGGAAAGCCCCAGUCCUGAAACAACAUAAAGAGACAAGCCACUUUUCUAGAACUAUCUUUGACCAUAACAUGUUCCCAUUGAUUAAAGGAU